rfam:Schistosoma mansoni, Puerto Rico, WGS project CABG01000000 data, contig: 0034
AUCCAGCUGAUGAGUCCUAAAUAAAACGAAACUCGCGUCCUUGAU